CUAACGACACCUUUGAGUCGUGAAGGAUGACGACUCGUUCGGUGACCUGAAGUCCAUCCGAGUGCGUUUGCUGGCUCGUCCGCAGGGCCAGGAUCUGAUUCCGGAAACCGGAGCAAAUUCUCAUUUAUUCUGGAGCAGAAACAAUGAGGCGGACAAUGCUAUCAGUUUCCAUGGUAACGUGACUGUUCACUGAGGAACUAACGAACGCACAUAAUGAUCCACCUGAAGGUCCGAAGACGUCCAAGUUCCUCUAAUAAGAUUCACCUUGAUGAGGAACUCUGAUCUGCUUUUAGUCCUGAAUUAUUUUUAAAGAAAACCUUGACUUUGGAGAAAGAAAAGCUGGAAAUAAAGAGAAAUGAGUGUCCGACACUCGUCGGGGUGGUCCUGAUUGGCGUCCCUGGACGGAGAUGAACCUCGGAAAACCACUUUACGGAAGAAGAAAACAUCAUUCAUCCAACCUUCCAACCGAGCAGCCAUCCAAAGAACACAGAAUGAAUCCCGCCGGAAUGUGAGGAGAAGAACGAAGACGAGACCGUCUGGAAACAGGAACUAACAUUUUUCAUUUCAUGAAAAACCGUAAUGCAAAAAAAUGUAUUAAUAUAACUGACAAAACAAAAACGCCGACCGAAAUAAUAAAAUAAUAGAAGAAUGUUGACGGUUGAGUUGCUGACGGCGCUCUUACCUUUGCUUCUGUUUCAAGUCUUUGAAAAUAACUAUCUUUGUUUUUUUUAAUUGAACAAGUUUUCUGUGUGGAGAGGACAACAGGAAACAGGAAGUGGCAGACAGGAAGUGCUUCAUGACAGUGGUCAGGAUAGUUUAUCCCUAGAACACUUCAUCCCUUUAGCUGGGAUAAAAUAAGAGAAAAAAUAGAUCAAAAUAUGAUAACACAUGAUACGUCAGAGUAGCUUUCUUUGAUUUUCAACUGUCCUUUAUGUAACAAAAUUAAAGUUAAAAACAGGAAGAUCCUAAAAACAUGCUAGAAAAUCACUAAAAAAA